UACGAAGGGGGCUAGCGUUAUUCGGAAUUACUGGGCGUAAAGCGCACGUAGGCGGCUUUGUAAGUAAGAGGUGAAAGCCCAGAGCUCAACUCUGGAAUUGCCUUUUAGACUGCAUCGCUUGAAUCAUGGAGAGGUCAGUGGAAUUCCGAGUGUAGAGGUGAAAUUCGUAGAUAUUCGGAAGAACACCAGUGGCGAAGGCGGCUGACUGGACAUGUAUUGACGCUGAGGUGCGAAAGCGUGGGGAGCAAACAGG
rnacentral:rRNA from 1 species